rnacentral:rRNA from 1 species
AUUGAACGCUGGCGGCAGGCCUAACACAUGCGAGUCGAACGGUAACAGGAAGAAGCUUGCUUCUUUGCUGACGAGUGGCGGACGGGUGAGUAAUGUCUGGGAAACUGCCUGAUGGAGGGGGAUAACUACUGGAAACGGUAGCUAAUACCGCAUAACGUCGCAAGACCAAAGAGGGGGACCUUCGGGCCUCUUGCCAUCGGAUGUGCCCAGAUGGGAUUAGCUAGUAGGUGGGGUAACGGCUCACCUAGGCGACGAUCCCUAGCUGGUCUGAGAGGAUGACCAGCCACACUGGAACUGAGACACGGUCCAGACUCCUACGGGAUGCAGCAGUGGGGAAUAUUGCACAAUGGGCGCAAGCCUGAUGCAGCCAUGCCGCGUGUAUGAAGAAGGCCUUCGGGUUGUAAAGUACUUUCAGCGGGGAGGAAGGGAGUAAAGUUAAUACCUUUGCUCAUUGACGUUACCCGCAGAAGAAGCACCGGCUAACUCCGUG